rnacentral:rRNA from 1 species
AUUUUUAUGGAGAGUUUGAUCCUGGCUCAGGAUGAACGCUGGCGGCGUGCCUAAUACAUGCAAGUCGAGCGAACGGACGAGAAGCUUGCUUCUCU